AAGAGCCAAUCCGCCAGAAAACCAUGCAAUAUUCAGAAAAUCGUCCAAAUCGACAAUCACAACUUGACAAAUUUUUAUACAUCAUCUUAAUCCUUGACAUAAAAUAAAAGAAUUUGACCACUUAAUUUUUCCCAGAAUCGUAUCUAUUUUUAGUAACAGCCUCAUUUGCAUAAUUCUGUAAAUUCAUAAUGAAACCAAGGAAAAAUCCUACUUUUUUAUGCCUUUUAAGAAUGACCCAGAAGCAUAUUAAAUGGGGUAGUUGAGUUUUUAGAGUAAUGUCAGCUGAAACUCAUCCAUUUUACUAUGUUAUGAUCAAUACAAAUGAAAAUUUAAACGAUUUGGCACAUUGCCAGGAGCAGGGACACAAAGGCGGGGUUUUUCAUACAUGAAUUUAUGUGGUUUUCAUUCGCUUCUAUCUUGCAAGACCCAUUCCGGAUUUGUUUGCAACUUAUAUCGGUUUUAACUAUGGGGUAUGUUUUAUAUCAAAACAAAAUAUUAAGCUUGGCAAAUGACUAUUAUAUGUUAAUUUAUGCCUUGGAAGAAUGGUGAUUUUAGUCCCAAAUUGACACAUUUUGAUUUUGAUUUUAAUUAAAUUCUAAACACAACUGGUACUAAAAUGGCUCAUAAAAUCAUUCGAACAAGUAAAAUCAAUUUGUCUGAAAAAUGAAAUAAGACGUAUUUGUACUGCAAGUCCAAAAAUCAAUAAAUUGUCUGAAACCAGGGAGUCCAUCUUUUAUGCUCUUCCAUUGACUUAUCUCCCUUGGGUAAGAUCUCAAACAUGUCAGCUCCCAAUGAUGGUUUGGCAGACAAAUGUUUACAGUGAAGUUUGUGACUUUAAUAAUCUAGGAUGAGCAUGUGGGCUAUCCCAGCCUUAUACAUCUACAUAUUACAAACUAUUUAAGAUAUCUGAAUGCACUAAAGACCAAAAUAGCAUUUCCAAAAAAAAUAAUUACUGCCAAGAAAUUUGACAAUCAUGACAAUAAUUUAGUGAAUAAACAUGAUAAAUAUUGAUUGGAAAAAUAAGUCCAUGAACAGCAAAAAGUGUUUUUAGAUUUCAACGAGCAAAACAAAAGUAUUCUAAAUCAUUCUUCGUAAAAAAAAAAGUGAGCCAGUGGAACCACCUUGCUCGCACCAAAAUUGAGAUUGAGAGUGUCAAAACUGCUCUGGUGCACCAUCAAUAAAUCAACGACACUCUCUCUACCGUGGUAUUGAAACCAGCAUUGGUAACCAAACAUAUUCAUACAGAUACAGACUACCAUUAAUCUACAUUUAGGAAGUCUGAAUAAUACUGAAAACUAUGGUGUAGAAUUUCCAACAGGACUCCUUAUUUUAUAUAAGACAAGGAGUGGUUUAUUUUCCCAUGGUUGUUACAUCAUCUUGUCUUUGAAUAUGCUCGAAGUACAGGGACUUUUAUGGAAUUCAUUGACAUGAUAGUCAAGCAAGAUGUCAACAUCUCGUCCAACCCUCUUCCAGCAAAGCCAAAGCUGACCAAGGAUCUUCACCCUUUCAAAACAGGCUGUAUACAGGACGAGUUAUUCCAGUAGGAACAGGGCUAUAUAUAUGCAAGCAAUGCUCAAUUAAGAUGAAUUUUUGUAAAAGUGACAAUAGCCAGGUCAAACUAAAUACAUGUAUAGAAGAAGAUAUUGAUCUAGACUCGCAGCUAACCUUUCUGUCAGUGUCAACAACAACUGAACUUUCACAGCAGUCAACAUCAGAUUGGGAGACUGAUAAUGCUUCUAACAGAAACAAUUUCAACCAACCAAACAAGCAACAGAAACUUUCCAACUUUAAAACAUCAGUUAAAUCUUCCAUGGGAUGAUGUCUCAAAAAAUAACAGUUCAUUAUUUAUGGAGAUUUUAAUGUUAUGGUUUUUCUUUUACAAGAAAGUUAAUGUACACUUGUUUUAUAGUAAAACCUAUAGCCGUUCAAGUAUAAAAAAACACAUUCAACUUUAUUGAAAUUUGAAGAUUCAUAUGACUUAUUUUAAUUCUGUUAUCUCCGAGGAUGUGAUGUAGAGCAUUAUAGGUACAGUAAAUCUUAACAGCUAUCCAAUUUCAUUCAAAAUUCUUUAUAAAUUUUGCACUGGUAUAUAUAGACUAAGUAAUUUGUUUUUCGUCUAGUUAUGGGAUUUUUUUAUACCCCACGCAACGAGUUGCGGAGGGUAUAAUAUUUUUGACCCGUCCAUCAGUCCGUCAGUCCUGUUUCUUGUCAUCGCAACUCCUCUCAAACCACACAACAGAAUUUCAUGAAACCUUUUCAGAUAAUAAGGACAUACUAGGUAGAUGUGCAUAUCGACAGGAAAUUACGAUUUAAUUUUUUUUCCAGGAGUUACGCCCCUUUGAACUUAUUUGCCCAAUAUACUACUGCAACCUUUUGUCAUCCCAACUCCUCUCAAACCACACAACAGAAUUUCAUGAAACCUUUUCAGAUAAUAAGGACAUACUACGUAGAUGUGCAUAUCGACAGGAAAUUACGAUUCAAUAUUUUUUCCAGGAGUUACGCCCCUUUGAACUUAUUUGCCCAAUAUACUACUGCAACCUUUUGUCAUCGCAACUCCUCUCAAACCACACAACAGAAUUUCAUGAAACCUUUCCAGAUAAUAAGGACAUACUACGUAGAUGUGCAUAUCGACAGGAAAUUACGAUUCAAUUUUUUUCCAGGAAUUACGCCCCUUUGAACUUAUUUGCCCAAUAUACUACUGCAACCUUUUGUCAUCGCAACUCCUCUCAAACCACACAACAGAAUUUCAUGAAACUGUGUAGAUAAUAAGGACAUACUACGUCGAUGUGCAUAUUGACAGGAAAUUAUGAUUCAAUUUUUUUUUCUGAUACAAUUUUUUUUUCUUACACUUAUUUUAUUUCUCCAAUGACGAUGUGGUGUAUGUGAGCGCUCACUAAGGUUCUUUCAUUUUAGAAGCAUUUAUGAUUUUCAUGUUUGUAUUGACCACAUUGCAGCAACAUAGAUAUAGGUACCUGGCAAAUCUUGCCUUGUUAGCAUACUAGGCUCAAAGGGUCAUAAAAAAAUUUCCAUCACUAAGUGUCUGUUAAAAUCAUCUGUUUACAGUUUUCACUUUUAAACCAUCAUCUUAAUAACUUUAGAAGAAGUGUCAUACAUGUAUAUAUGUAUACAAAAUUCAAAAACUUUUCAAUAUAUAUAUAUAUAUAUAUA